rnacentral:misc_RNA from 1 species
GAUGAAGAACGCAGCGAAACGCGAUAAGUAAUGUGAAUUGCAGAAUUCAGUGAAUCAUCGAGUCUUUGAACGCACAUUGCGCCCCCUGGUAUUCCGGGGGGCAUGCCUGUCCGAGCGUCAUUGCUGCCCUCAAGCACGGCUUGUGUGUUGGGCCUCCGUCCUCCUCCCGGGGGACGGGCCCGAAAGGCAGCGGCGGCACCGCGUCCGGUCCUCGAGCGUAUGGGGCUUCGUCACCCGCUCUUGUAGGCCCGGCCGGCGCUUGCCGACACAUCAAUCUUUUUUCCAGGUUGACCUCGGAUCAGGUAGGGAUACCCGCUGAACUUAAGCAUAUCAAUAAGCGGAGGA